ACUAAUACCGCAUAAGCGCACACGUACCGCAUGGUAGGUGUAGAAAACUCCGGUGGUAUGAGAUUGGACCCCGCGUCUGAUUAGCUAGUUGGUGGGGUAACGGCCUACCAAGGCGACGAUCAGUAGCCGACCUGAGAGGGUGACCGGCCACAUUGGGACUGAGACACGGCCCAAACUCCUACGGGAGGCAGCAGUGGGGAAUAUUGCACAAUGGGCGAAAGCCUGAUGCAGCGACGCCGCGUGAGCGAUGAAGUAUUUCGGUAUGUAAAGCUCUAUCAGCAGGGAAGAAAAUGACGGUACCUGACUAAGAAGCACCGGCUAAAUACGUG
rnacentral:rRNA from 1 species